UACGGGGGGAGCAAGCGUUGUUCGGAUUUACUGGGCGUAAAGGGCGCGUAGGCGGUCAGCACAAGUCAGUUGUGAAAUCUCCGGGCUUAACUCGGAAAGGUCAACUGAUACUGUGCGACUAGAGUGCGGAAGGGGCAACUGGAAUUCUCGGUGUAGCGGUGAAAUGCGUAGAUAUCGAGAGGAACACCUGCGGCGAAGGCGGCUCACUGGGUCUCUUCUGACGCUGAGGAACGAAAGCUAGGGGAGCAAACGGG
rnacentral:rRNA from 1 species